rnacentral:rRNA from 1 species
GUCCCCUACGGGGGGCAGCAGUGGGGAAUAUUGCACAAUGGGGGAAACCCUGAUGCAGCGACGCCGCGUGAGUGAUGAAGUAUUUCGGUAUGUAAAGCUCUAUCAGCAGGGAAGAUAAUGACGGUACCUGACUAAGAAGCUCCGGCUAAAUACGUGCCAGCAGCCGCGGUAAUACGUAUGGAGCAAGCGUUAUCCGGAUUUACUGGGUGUAAAGGGAGCGCAGGCGGCUUGGCAAGUCUGAUGUGAAAGGCUGGGGCUCAACCCCAGGACUGCAUUGGAAACUGUUAGGCUAGAGUGUCGGAGAG